GGGAGCGGAUGCGUGCCUGGUGGCUGCCGCGGUCUUCAAAACCGUAGUGGUGUUGCGAGAGUAACGCUGGGUGGGUUCGAUUCCCACACGUUCCCGCCA
rnacentral:tRNA from 1 species